UACGUAGGGUGCAAGCGUUAAUCGGAAUUACUGGGCGUAAAGCGUGCGCAGGCGGUUGUGCAAGACAGAUGUGAAAUCCCCGGGCUUAACCUGGGAAUUGCAUUUGUGACUGCACGGCUAGAGUGUGUCAGAGGGGGGUAGAAUUCCACGUGUAGCAGUGAAAUGCGUAGAUAUGUGGAGGAAUACCAAUGGCGAAGGCAGCCCCCUGGGAUAACACUGACGCUCAUGCACGAAAGCGUGGGGAGCAAAAGGG
rnacentral:rRNA from 1 species